GUAGGGAAUAUUGCACAAUGGAGGAAACUCUGAUGCAGCGACGCCGCGUGAGUGAUGAAGGCCUUCGGGUCGUAAAGCUCUGUCGCAGGGGAAUAACACAAUGAAGGUACCCUGUAAGAAAGGAUCGGCUAACUUCGUGCCAGCAGCCGCGGUAAGACGAGGGAUCCUAGCGUUGUUCGGAAUCAUUGGGCGUAAAGCGGAUGUAGGUGGCUAUGUAAGUCAGAUGUGAAAGCCUGGGGCUCAACCCCAGAAGUGCAUUUGAUACUGCGUAGCUUGAGUGUCGGAGAGGUUACUAGAAUUGGUGGUGUAGUGGUGAAAUACGUAGAUAUCAACAGGAAUACCGGAGGCGAAGGCGGGUAACUGGCCGAACACUGACACUGAGAUCCGAAAGCGUGGGGAUCAAACAGGAUUAGAAACCCGAGUAGUCC
rnacentral:rRNA from 1 species